GGGAAAGAGACACUCUCUUCCUGCUGGACCUGUGGCCAGUAGGGUACAAACUUUGAGCUGCCAGGGCCAUUUUGCCAUCACAUGAGAAAUGCUUAGAAUCAAACCAGACAGAAGAAAGCAGGACUGAGCAAUGGAACGAGAACAGAUCCUGGUGAAAUUGUUUGCCUGGAUCCUGCUGCAUCCAGUCUAGAGGGCUUUCCAGUCGGAGGACCAAUGAUUUUUAUUUAUUGUUUUUACUAAGCUGUUUGGACUUGGAUUUGUUACUUGUAGCCUGAAGAGUCCGGACUGAGAAGAGGGUGUGACAUUUAGGGACACAGGAGCUGGAGAGAGCCGACCUCAGAGCAGGAGGGGUUGGAGUGGAAAGUGGAUCCCAGUUCCUUCUCAAUGUGGGCUUCACGCAUAUUAGUUAACCUUGCAGAGCCUCAGCUGUCUCCUGAGUAAAAUGGGCCAGGAACAGCGCCACUCUCCUAAGGUCGCAAGGAUUAAACAAGAUAAAAGAAGACUGAGAUUAGAAGACAAUUUGUCCAGGUCCCAAGUCUGUACAGCUGAGUUUGGGUCCCAACAUGACUUCGCAUUUUAUGUAUUGAUGUGAAUCCAUUCCAGACAGAGCCAGAGUUUUCCCUGUCAAGGGUCUCCGGUCUCCUGUCUUCGCCGAUUCAGCCAUUUGCUCGACAGUCUUAAAAAAGAGGAUGAGAAGCAUCUCUCACAACGGCCAAAGGGGAAAGUGGCUGAGGACUGGAGUGGGGAGAAGACAGGCAGAGCAAUCUGAGGUGUGGCCCUCGUAGAGCUAUAUCAAAGCAUGGGCUCUACACUUGGCCUCUGGAAACACGAAACGAACCGUUGAGGUCUUUAUCUCACAUUACCUGUCUGCCCCAUCACUUGUCCAAGUGGUUUCACAACAAUGAUACUCUGCGGGAACUUAACACCCCACAGUCUGGGCUCAGAGAUAAGCUAUCAAUGCCCUGACACAUUGCCUAUGAAGAUGGUUGUCUCUCAUGGGCUAGCUUUCUCAGAGAUAACACACAGAAACUAUUAUUUCCAUUCUAAGCUUUACUAUUGCCUUCCUUCUGCUGGCUUUGCAUUUAGACUGCUCUUUUUUUUUUUUUUUUUUUUUUCUGACAGGGAAGGUUAGAUUGUUUAUAUGAGAUCUUUCUUCUCUAUUUAAAUUGGUGUUAUAGCUACACAUUUUCCUCUAACCACUGCUUUCCCCCUAUCCUGUAGCUUUCAUUACAGGGUAGGGUACAGAUAAAGCAUGCUGAUAAAUGCUCUUGCUUGAGAACUGAUCAGGAGUUCUGCUGAAGCCAGGAGUUGAGUUUUUAACCCCACAGAAUAUUUGCACUGGUGAUCUCAGGAUCCCUUUCUGUUGCCUGUAAUUGCAGGAGGAUUAAUUUAUCAACUUACUUUUUUUGUUUGUUUGUUUUUAAGAUUGACUUAGCGUCACCUGGGUGACUCAAUGAGUUAAAGCCU